AGGCAAAUGAGCAGCAUCUAUACGGGGUUGAACAGUUAACACCUUGGACCAACUUCCCUCUUGUUUCAUUUCGUAUAUGGAUGUCAUACACUUAUCACUGACUAACAUUGCAAGAGAGUCUCCACGCAGUGUCAGCCUCACCCAGUGUUCACCUGGAAUAUCUGGGCCUUGCAUCUCCCCCAACUGUUGGCUGCCCAUGGCAAAUGACUGAAUCUUGCAUAUAUCAUUAUUGUCGCUCCUACAAAUCCAAUAAUAAAUCCCGUUGAGAUAUGUGACGGAAUAGGGAAAACCUAAGGUAAAACUGGAAGGGAAUUGUAGGCUCUUCCAUGAGUUAUCGCAUGAGGAAUAGACACAGACAAAAUUAUGAAGGUAAAAGCGCCGUCUCUGUCCCUGUCCUUGUUCCCGGUU
rnacentral:misc_RNA from 1 species